UGGGAUGAUUUGGGUCAGUUUUGGAUGAAUUUUUGGGGAGCACUGGGUGUUACUGGGGGUUUUUGGGGAGCACUGGCUGUUACUGAGGAGCACUGGGAGAGAAAAUGAAAAACAAAGAGAAUAAAAAAUAAACAAAAUAAA